rnacentral:rRNA from 1 species
AGCUUGCUACCGGACCUAGCGGCGGACGGGUGAGUAUAUGCUUAGGAAUCUGCCUAUUAGUGGGGGACAACAUCUCGAAAGGGAUGCUAAUACCGCAUACGUCCUACGGGAGAAAGCAGGGGAUCUUCGGACCUUGCGCUAAUAGAUGAGCCUAAGUCGGAUUAGCUAGUUGGUGGGGUAAAGGCCUACCAAGGCGACGAUCUGUAGCGGGUCUGAGAGGAUGAUCCGCCACACUGGGACUGAGACACGGCCCAGACUCCUACGGGAGGCAGCAGUGGGGAAUAUUGGACAAUGGGGGGAACCCUGAUCCAGCCAUGCCGCGUGUGUGAAGAAGGCCUUAUGGUUGUAAAGCACUUUAAGCGAGGAGGAGGCUACUUUAGUUAAUACCUAGAGAUAGUGGACGUUACUCGCAGAAUAAGCACCGGCUAACUCUGUGCCAGCAGCCGCGGUAAUACAGAGGGUGCGAGCGUUAAUCGGAUUUACUGGGCGUAAAGCGUGCGUAGGCGGCUUAUUAAGUCGGAUGUGAAAUCCCCGAGCUUAACUUGGGAAUUGCAUUCGAUACUGGUGAGCUAGAGUAUGGGAGAGGAUGGUAGAAUUCCAGGUGUAGCGGUGAAAUGCGUA